rnacentral:rRNA from 1 species
GAUGAACGCUGGCGGCGUGCCUAAUACAUGCAAGUCGAGCGAACAGACGAGGAGCUUGCUCCUCUGACGUUAGCGGCGGACGGGUGAGUAACACGUGGAUAACCUACCUAUAAGACUGGGAUAACUUCGGGAAACCGGAGCUAAUACCGGAUAAUAUAUUGAACCGCAUGGUUCAAUAGUGAAAGACGGUUUUGCUGUCACUUAUAGAUGGAUCCGCGCCGCAUUAGCUAGUUGGUAAGGUAACGGCUUACCAAGGCAACGAUGCGUAGCCGACCUGAGAGGGUGAUCAGCCACACUGGAACUGAGACACGGUCCAGACUCCUACGGGAGGCAGCAGUAGGGAAUCUUCCGCAAUGGGCGAAAGCCUGACGGAGCAACGCCGCGUGAGUGAUGAAGGUCUUCGGAUCGUAAAGCUCUGUUAUUAGGGAAGAACAAAUGUGUAAGUAACUAUGCACGUCUUGACGGUACCUAAUCAGAAAGCCACGGCUAACUACGUG